UACGAAGGGGGCUAGCGUUGUUCGGAUUUACUGGGCGUAAAGCGCACGUAGGCGGCUUUGUAAGUUAGAGGUGAAAGCCCGGGGCUCAACUCCGGAACUGCCUUUAAGACUGCAUCGCUUGAAUCCGGGAGAGGUGAGUGGAAUUCCGAGUGUAGAGGUGAAAUUCGUAGAUAUUCGGAAGAACACCAGUGGCGAAGGCGGCUCACUGGACCGGUAUUGACGCUGAGGUGCGAAAGCGUGGGGAGCAAACAGG
rnacentral:rRNA from 1 species